CUUUCUCACUGUCUGAGCUGAAG
rnacentral:piRNA from 1 species